rnacentral:rRNA from 1 species
CUAGCUCAGGAUGAACGCUGGCGGCGUGCUUAACACAUGCAAGUCGAACGAAGCACUUGACCUUCGGGUCUUGUGACUGAGUGGCGGACGGGUGAGUAACGCGUGGGUAACCUGCCCUGUACAGGGGGAUAACAGUUAGAAAUGGCUGCUAAUACCGCAUAAGCAUACGAGGAGGCAUCUCCUGGUGUGAAAAACUCCGGUGGUACAGGAUGGGCCCGCGUCUGAUUAGCUGGUUGGCAGGGUAACGGCCUACCAAGGCGACGAUCAGUAGCCGGUCUGAGAGGAUGAACGGCCACAUUGGAACUGAGACACGGUCCAAACUCCUACGGGAGGCAGCAGUGGGGAAUAUUGCACAAUGGGGGAAACCCUGAUGCAGCAACGCCGCGUGAGUGAUUGAAGUAUUUCGGUAUGUAAAGCUCUAUCAGCAGGGAAGAUGAUGACGGUACCUGACUAAGAAGCUCCGGCUAAAUACGUGCCAGCAGCCGC